CUGGUGGCUCACCGCAGACGGCAGUUGAGGCUCUCUUGCUGAAAACAACACCUACGAAAAUCGUUGAACACUGAGAAUUCCAGCAGCUGACUACCUGGAACCUUUACUCGUACUGACUGGUGUUCCUGGUACUUGAAGCUACUCUGUAUAAUAACACAGGAGAGAGUGUGGAUAAUUCUCUGGCCUUGCAAGAAAUUCCACCCGUGAUGCUCAGUGAUGACUUCCUCAAAUGAAGAGGUGAUGCUACGCUUUGGAAAUGCAAAAUGUUCUGUGGCGCAUCCAGGAGUCUAAACGGAUCAUCAUUCUGCACAUAAUCCAUGGUUUUCAAUUAUCCGUGCCACUGGUUUGCCACGUUAGCAUGAC
ensembl:lncRNA